GUGUGUGUUCCCUGGGACCCUUCAUCCCAGUGGAUACUGAACUCUAAUUCUUGUUUCUGCAAAACCAUGAGACGGUCAAAAUCUCUUCACUCUGCUUUUCAGAGCCUUUCUGCUAAGCUUCUUAACCUUCUGUCUCAUGCAUCUUCAGAAUUUGGAAAAUGACUUGAGGGAGACUGACAUUAUUGGGCUCAAUUAUUUACCCCUCCCUUCUCACUGGGAAUCUGGCCCCUCUUGUUCUUAAGUUUGUCUCUCCAACUCUGCUGAACUGACAGAAUCAUCCCUGGUGGUGUCUUUGCCUGUUAGGGCCUCUUUCUAUACUCAGAACCAAAACUCAGACUCUGGCCUUAUGCCCAGAAUUUCCCCAAGGAAUGAAGGUACUGCUGAAUGUCAGCUCACCUCUAUGUAUAGUUUCCCCUUCUCUGAGAUUGUGUCCUCAUAAGUUCUGGUUGCCUCAGCAGCCUUCAAACAGAUGUUUUAUGUUUUAGCUGGCUCUCCUAAUUGUUUUCAGCUGGAUUAUUGGUUGGCUAUAAGUACCCCCAUCGUACUCAGAACCAGGAAAUGUUUUUCAUAUGAAAUGAUCUUGCCUUCCCCCUCAGUAAAAAAAAAAAAAUGUCUGAACAAGGCUCUGCUUGAGGUAUCAAGAUAUGGUUUACAACACUCUCAGUGUAUCAGAAUCAUCUCAGUACUUUUUAAUAAGUAAAAGAGUCCAGAAUUCCACACCAGACCUACUAGAUCCGAAUUUCUGAGAGAUUAAUUUGGCUCUGUAUUUUAAAAUGCUUUCCAGGUAUGAACAUUUGCUCUGACAACAAUUGAGUCAUGGGGACUGGAUUUAUCCUUCCCUCUUAAACAUCUGGAAAAAAAAUAAUAAUGGUUUUCUGACAAAAUAUAUGAAACAAUGGUUUUUAGACAUUGGACAAUAGACAGUGUAGGACAGUGAUUAAGGUAAGAGAAGUAAACAAGUUGAGCCAUCUAAUUGCCCCAGCCUACUGCCUUGCAACAGUUUCCAGACCAUGGGACAGGCAGUGGCAGAGCCCAAAGCCCAGCAAUACUGCUGACUUGAGGAGACAAAUAUCAGGCUUCAGGGAGGCCGACGUAGCUAAAGUUUGGAGGACAGAGAACCAGAAAGGGGAAAGCUACAUAUGUAUAUACAACUCCAAAUAUCUACAGAGGGGUCCUUUUGCUUCUUUGGAUGAGCAUUGAUUUGCACAUAUUUAAGAAGAGACUAAUUGGAAACUAAUUGGGAAAACAAACCACCAAAAAAGGGCAGGAAAAACAAUUCCCAGAGCUCCCAUAUGAAUGGAAAUUGUGCCUGUUUUCACCAGCCGAAUGGAAAGACCUAUCUGUACAUUUUGUCCUUAGUCCUCAGGAGGGUGUCAUCUUGGUACUGAAAAUGAAUUUGCCUAUAUUAAAAGGAGCGUGGGAGAUUUGAAGAAAUAAUGGCUGAAAUAGUCCCAAAUUUAAUAAAAACUAUAAACCCACAAAUUCAAGGCAUUCAAAGAACACGAAGCAGAAUAAAAAAUUGUAACCACAACAAGGCACAUUAUAGUAAAAUUGCUGAAACCAGGCGAAAGUCUUAAUAUCAGCCAGAAAAAAAAGAUAAUACACAGGAAAGAACAAAGAUAGGAAUUACAUUAGACUUGUUAUUAGAAACUAUUCAACCAAGAAAAAAAGUCUUCAGAUUGCUGAAAGAUUUUUAAAAAUCAACCUAGAGUUCUUUACUCAGCAAAAAUGUCUUUCAGAAAUGGAAGAGAAAAAUGUUUCAGACAAAAAAAAAAAAAAGCGGCUGGGCGCAGUGGCUCACACCUGUAAUCCCAACACUUUGGGAGGCUGAGGCAGGCGGAUCGCCUGAAGUCAGGGGUUCAAGACCAGCCUCUCCAACAUGGUGAAACCCUGUUUCUACUAAAAAUAGAAAACAUUAGCCGAGCAGGAUGGCGCACACCUGUAGUCCUAGCUACUUGGGAGGCUGAGGCAAGAGAACCGCUUGAACCUGGGAGGCAGAGGUUGUAGUGAGCCAAGAUCACCCCGUUGCAUUCCAGCCUGGGUAACAGUGUGAGAUUCUGUCUCAAAAAAAAAAAAAAGAAAGAAAGAAAGAAAAAAGCAACUGGGUGCGGUGGCUCACACCUGUAAUCCCAGCACGAUAAGAGCCCAAGGGAGGAGGAUCGCUUGAACCAGGAGUUCAAGACCAGCCUAGGCAACGUAGUGAGACCCCCAUCUCUAUCAAAAAAAAAAAAAUUGAAAAAUAGCUGGGUGUGGUGGCGCAUGCCUGUAAUUCCAGCUACUUGAGAGGCUGAGGUGGGAGGUUUGCUUGAGCCUAGGUCAAGGCUUCAGUGAGCCAUGAUUGUGCCACUGCACUCCAGCCUGAGUGACAGAGCAAGAACUUGUCUCAAAAAAAAAAAAAAAAAAAAAGGAAAAAAGAAAGGAAGGGAGGGAGGGAGGGAGGGGGAGAGGGGAGAGCAGGAAAGAAUAAAGCUAAGAUAGUUUAUCAUGAGAAAACAUGAACUUCCAGAGCAAGACCUUGUCAGAAAGAAAGAGAAGAGAGAGAAAGAGAGAGAGAAAGAAAGAAAGAAAAGAAAGAAAGAGCUAAGAUAGUUUAUCACUAGCAAACAUGAACUUCCAGAAAUAUUGAAGAUACUUCUUCAAAAAUAAUGGGAAAGGAUACUAGACUGAAAUUUUGAUUUGUAGAUAAAUGUUAAGAACUCUGUAAUUGUGAAAUGUGUGGAUAAGUACAAUUUUUUUAUUUAUAAGAUUAUUGUGUAAGGCAAAUUAAUAACAAUGUAUUAUGGGGUUUAAAACUUAUGUAAUAGUAAAAUGGAUAAUAGGGAGAAUAUGGAGAAAUGGGAAUAGUGGUUACAAAGUUUUACACUGUAUGUAUAGUGGCAAAUUAUCAUUUGAAGGUAGACUGUAGUAAGCUAAAGAUGCAUAUUGUAAACCUUGCAACAACCACUAAAAGUAAUAAUAAAACUAAAGUAGAGCUACUAGGCCAAUCGUGGAAAUAAAAGAGUCACAAAAAUACUCAAUUUAGAAGAAAACAGGAAAAGAAGAAAAAAAAGGAGUAAAAACCAGAUUAGACAAAUAGAAAACUAUAGCAAGAUGAUACACUUAAACUCAACUAUAUUGAUAAUUGUAUUAAAUAUAAGUGGUCUAAACAUCAAACUAAGAGGCAGAGAUUAUCAGAUUGUAUAUAAAAGCAAGAGCAAAAUAUGUGCUGUUUGUAGGAACACAUUUUAGAUAAACACAAAUAUGUUAAAUGCAAAAGAAUGAAAAAUACAUGCCAGGCAAACACGAACCAAAAGAAUGAUGGAGUGACAGUAUUACUAUCAAACAGACAGAUUUCAGAACAGGGAAUAUUACCAGGAAUAAAGAUUAAUAUUUCAGAAUGAUAAGAGAGUCAAUUUAUCAAAUAGACACAAUAAUCCAAAAUGCUUAUGGAACAAAUAACAGGCCUACAAAAUGCUGAAUCAAAAACUGAGAGCCACCAGGGCACGGUGGCUCACGCCUGUAAUCCCAGCACUUUGGGAGGCCAAGGUGGGCUGAUCACGAGGUCAGGUGUUUGAGACCAACCUGACCAACAUGGUGAAACCCCAUCUCUACUAAAAAUACAAAAAUUAGCCAGGCGUGGUGGUGCAUGCCUAUAAUCCCAGCUACUCAGGAGGCUGAGGCAGGAGAAUCGCUUGAACCCAGGAGGCAGAGGUUGCAGUAAGCCGAGAUUGCACUACUGCACUCAAGCCUGGGUGACAGAGGGAGACUCUGUCUCAAUAAAUAAAUAAAUAAAUAAAUAAAUAAAUAAAUAAUAAAAAUACUGAGCGCCUAAAGGAAAAAUAGAGAAAUCCACAAUUAAAGUUUAAGAUUUCAACACUAUGCUAAUAAUUGAGGUUUUUAAGUAGAAAGAAAAGGAGUAAUGCUUGAGCAAUAUUGUCGAUUAACUUGAGCUACUUGUUUAUAGGACAUUGUACCCAACAGCAAAAGAAUCCAUGUACUCUGCCAGUGUGCAGAAAAUAUUCACCAAGAUAGACUAUGUUCUGUGUUGUAAAAUAAAUUUUGAUAAAUUUAAGAGAUUAGAAUUAUAUUAAGUGUGAUUGCUGAUCAAAAUGAAAUUAGUCUGGAAAACCAAAUAUUUGCAAAUCAAACAACAUGAGUCAAACAGAAA
rnacentral:lncRNA from 1 species